GGUGCCCAUUGCUUUGUCCCUCUUACAGUGUGGAAAUGGGAAAGUGACUUUACACUCGUCGGCGCCGUGUUGAUCUCCGAAGCGUCCAAGGGCGGUUCGCUGAAACGUACCACCUGUCAGCAGCAUUGUGAGGAUCAGCAGAACACACACAAGGUGCUAACGUCCUGCCCGGGAGCAGGAAGAGGAUGUGCAAACGCUGCCGUUCUUUCAGACUGUUGAUGUGAGCACUUGAGCCGAAGCGGAGCAGGAUGCAAACACGCUGCCUGCUUGGUUGUCUGAGAAAACAGAUUGAUGUGUGACCUUUCCGGAAAUCUCAAUCUGCUUUUUUCAACCAAAUUAAGUAAAGGUUAGGAGAGCAGACUAAAAUAGUGUGAUAUUUUCAAAAUUGUUUUUCCUGUAACUUUUAAUAAGUGAUUUUUAAAAUAUC